rnacentral:rRNA from 1 species
AGCGUACACGGUGGAUGCCCUGGCAGUCAGAGGCGAUGAAGGACGUGCUAAUCUGCGAUAAGCGUCGGUAAGGUGAUAUGAACCGUUAUAACCGGCGAUUUCCGAAUGGGGAAACCCAGUGUGUUUCGACACACUAUCAUUAACUGAAUCCAUAGGUUAAUGAGGCGAACCGGGGGAACUGAAACAUCUAAGUACCCCGAGGAAAAGAAAUCAACCGAGAUUCCCCCAGUAGCGGCGAGCGAACGGGGAGCAGCCCAGAGCCUGAAUCAGUGUGUGUGUUAGUGGAAGUGUCUGGAAAGGCGCGCGAUACAGGGUGACAGCCCCGUACACAAAAAUGCACAUGCUGUGAGCUCGAUGAGUAGGGCGGGACACGUGGUAUCCUGUCUGAAUAUGGGGGGACCAUCCUCCAAGGCUAAAUACUCCUGACUGACCGAUAGUGAACCAGUACCGUGAGGGAAAGGCGAAAAGAACCCCGGCGAGGGGAGUGAAAAAGAACCUGAAACCGUGUACGUACAAGCAGUGGGAGCACGCUUAGGCGUGUGACUGCGUACCUUUUGUAUAAUGGGUCAGCGACUUAUAUUCUGUAGCAAGGUUAACCGAAUAGGGGAGCCGAAGGGAAACCGAGUCUUAACUGGGCGUUAAGUUGCAGGGUAUAGACCCGAAACCCGGUGAUCUAGCCAUGGGCAGGUUGAAGGUUGGGUAACACUAACUGGAGGACCGAACCGACUAAUGUUGAAAAAUUAGCGGAUGACUUGUGGCUGGGGGUGAAAGGCCAAUCAAACCGGGAGAUAGCUGGUUCUCCCCGAAAGCUAUUUAGGUAGCGCCUCGUGAAUUCAUCUCCGGGGGUAGAGCACUGUUUCGGCAAGGGGGUCAUCCCGACUUACCAACCCGAUGCAAACUGCGAAUACCGGAGAAUGUUAUCACGGGAGACACACGGCGGGUGCUAACGUCCGUCGUGAAGAGGGAAACAACCCAGACCGCCAGCUAAGGUCCCAAAGUCAUGGUUAAGUGGGAAACGAUGUGGGAAGGCCCAGACAGCCAGGAUGUUGGCUUAGAAGCAGCCAUCAUUUAAAGAAAGCGUAAUAGCUCACUGGUCGAGUCGGCCUGCGCGGAAGAUGUAACGGGGCUAAACCAUGCACCGAAGCUGCGGCAGCGACGCUUAUGCGUUGUUGGGUAGGGGAGCGUUCUGUAAGCCUGUGAAGGUGUGCUGUGAGGCAUGCUGGAGGUAUCAGAAGUGCGAAUGCUGACAUAAGUAACGAUAAAGCGGGUGAAAAGCCCGCUCGCCGGAAGACCAAGGGUUCCUGUCCAACGUUAAUCGGGGCAGGGUGAGUCGACCCCUAAGGCGAGGCCGAAAGGCGUAGUCGAUGGGAAACAGGUUAAUAUUCCUGUACUUGGUGUUACUGCGAAGGGGGGACGGAGAAGGCUAUGUUGGCCGGGCGACGGUUGUCCCGGUUUAAGCGUGUAGGCUGGUUUUCCAGGCAAAUCCGGAAAAUCAAGGCUGAGGCGUGAUGACGAGGCACUACGGUGCUGAAGCAACAAAUGCCCUGCUUCCAGGAAAAGCCUCUAAGCAUCAGGUAACAUCAAAUCGUACCCCAAACCGACACAGGUGGUCAGGUAGAGAAUACCAAGGCGCUUGAGAGAACUCGGGUGAAGGAACUAGGCAAAAUGGUGCCGUAACUUCGGGAGAAGGCACGCUGAUAUGUAGGUGAAGCGACUUGCUCGUGGAGCUGAAAUCAGUCGAAGAUACCAGCUGGCUGCAACUGUUUAUUAAAAACACAGCACUGUGCAAACACGAAAGUGGACGUAUACGGUGUGACGCCUGCCCGGUGCCGGAAGGUUAAUUGAUGGGGUUAGCGCAAGCGAAGCUCUUGAUCGAAGCCCCGGUAAACGGCGGCCGUAACUAUAACGGUCCUAAGGUAGCGAAAUUCCUUGUCGGGUAAGUUCCGACCUGCACGAAUGGCGUAAUGAUGGCCAGGCUGUCUCCACCCGAGACUCAGUGAAAUUGAACUCGCUGUGAAGAUGCAGUGUACCCGCGGCAAGACGGAAAGACCCCGUGAACCUUUACUAUAGCUUGACACUGAACAUUGAGCCUUGAUGUGUAGGAUAGGUGGGAGGCUUUGAAGUGUGGACGCCAGUCUGCAUGGAGCCGACCUUGAAAUACCACCCUUUAAUGUUUGAUGUUCUAACGUUGACCCGUAAUCCGGGUUGCGGACAGUGUCUGGUGGGUAGUUUGACUGGGGCGGUCUCCUCCUAAAGAGUAACGGAGGAGCACGAAGGUUGGCUAAUCCUGGUCGGACAUCAGGAGGUUAGUGCAAUGGCAUAAGCCAGCUUGACUGCGAGCGUGACGGCGCGAGCAGGUGCGAAAGCAGGUCAUAGUGAUCCGGUGGUUCUGAAUGGAAGGGCCAUCGCUCAACGGAUAAAAGGUACUCCGGGGAUAACAGGCUGAUACCGCCCAAGAGUUCAUAUCGACGGCGGUGUUUGGCACCUCGAUGUCGGCUCAUCACAUCCUGGGGCUGAAGUAGGUCCCAAGGGUAUGGCUGUUCGCCAUUUAAAGUGGUACGCGAGCUGGGUUUAGAACGUCGUGAGACAGUUCGGUCCCUAUCUGCCGUGGGCGCUGGAGAACUGAGGGGGGCUGCUCCUAGUACGAGAGGACCGGAGUGGACGCAUCACUGGUGUUCGGGUUGUCAUGCCAAUGGCACUGCCCGGUAGCUAAAUGCGGAAGAGAUAAGUGCUGAAAGCAUCUAAGCACGAAACUUGCCCCGAGAUGAGUUCUCCCUGACUCCUUGA